ensembl:lncRNA
GUAAAGUUGAGUGCAGGUGGAUGUUUUAGUGAAAACGAAGUCUGAGACACAAGCUGCUGAUGUAGGUGUGACACCAAGAUGGAUGAUGCAGACAAGAUCGUGAAUAAAAUCUUCUCAUGGAUGGAUCUACAAAAGGACAGUGUAGACAAGUUGAACGAGCUAGCCAGUGAAUUGGAGGAACAGCAGAAGACUAUUAAUGUCACUAAAGUUGUCGGGAGCUCAGUGUCUGUGGGUGGUGCAGCUGCCAUGACAGUAGCAGGUGUAGUAAGUGUUUUAACAGGAGGACUGUCGAUACCUUUGUUAGCUGGAACAGGAGCAGUGGCAUCAGGUCUUGGUUUGGCUACUAGUGUGGGUUCUGAUGUUGUUGGUGCUGUCUUAUCAAGUAGGACUAUGAAAGAGGCCCAAAAUAUUUCAAAAAGCCUUGAUGAUCUUACAGCAGAAAUCACAGCACUCAUGGAGUCCCUCUUAACAAAAGCAACAGGCAGACAGCAACGGGGUAAAAAUGUUUCUCCAGAAGAAUAUGUGAAGGAGGCGAUCUUGAGAGCAAUGGCCAAACGCAAGGGUUUGAUAUUAAAGGAGAAGGACAGUUUAAUCAAGCUGUUAUCUCAGCUGCCUCUUGAGAAGAUCUUUAAGAACGACGCAGAAUCAGACCUCCUCAAAAAGUCAACAACGGAGGUGCCACUGCUUUCAGACUUUGUUACAGGGUUGGUCUCAGAAAAACUCAUGAAAAAUAAGGUCAGCAAAGCCAAUUCCCUGGGUUUAAAGGCAUCGACUACAGCAGUUGGAAAAAUUGGCAGAGGGGCAGUAGGACUUCUGUUUUCGGUUCCUGAGCUCAUCGAAAACUGUAAAAAUCUGAACAACCAUGAGACAGACGCCAGUCGGUACCUGAGAGUGAAGGCUGGAGCAAUACAAGAAGCUUACGAAGCCAUGAAAUCAGAGCUGGAUGAAAUUGAGGCAACGUGUGCGAGGUUAGCUGACACGAAGUGGAAGAAGUACAGAAAGAGAAGCUGUUUGUGUUCAUGUGCUUCUUCAUCACCAUGAUAUAACCAAAGAGGGAUCACUGAAUCAUUACUCAUGUAUGAAAAUAUGAAUGAAAAUAUGAAUAAUAUUAAGCAUCUGUGAGCAAGUGUUCUAUAGCCAGUGUGGGGACCAAUAUAUAUAUUAAACAUCUGUCUUUCUUUCAUUUUGACCCCAAUAUAAAUUAAAUAUUUAAAGAAAGUGCUGUGAAUGAUGAGUUGCCAAGUUAGUUAGAAAUAUAUUGUACUAUAAGCUCAAGUUAUUCACAUCCAGAUAUUUACAUAUCAAUACCUAUGAUCCAUGACUUGCUCCUACAUAAUGUUUAAUGUGUAAUCAAAAUAGAUAUCUAAUUUUCCUAGCUGAUGGCACAAUUAGACAUUAUCAGUAUGUUUAAAUGGACUGAUUCUUAUACAGUGCUUCUCUACUCGCUCUCUCCCUAUUCUUAAGUGACUAAUAGACAUUCAUACAGGUAGCCAGUGUUACGGAUUCAAAUAUUGGGGAUGGAUACGAGAGGAAAAACCAAAAUAACAACACUGGUCCGGCCGGGUUGAGUCAAACAAUGAUUUUAAUGAUCACACGCGUGGGAGAUGGACACCGUACGCAGACAGCAUCAGAUCUCAAAAUGGUGGAGCAUUGAUCAAACUCUUAUAGCCUCUGGUGUCCCCACCUUAUCAUAAAAGCCUAAACAUUCACAUGCUUUCUCUCACACAGCGCCUAAGCUACGACCUUGGCUCCCUGUUUAUCUGCUCCUGCUGAGAUGGGGCAGAAAACUCCAGCAUGUUCUCUUCU